GUGCUUCUGGUAUCUACUAGCAGGAGAUUGGGAUUAAAAAAAAAAAAAUGUAUCUCAGUACUGGGGAGGGCUGUGGGAUGGUUUUAAGACUACAUUGGUACCCACUUACCUCAUACUUGUGCAUUCAUCAGCAGGAACUGCACUCCUGAACAGGCUAAGUUCACUCUGACAAUACCCUACCAACAGCUCGCUCCCUUGUGAGAGGGUUGAUGGCAGGUUUGCUGCAAUAGGGCACAACAAGGCCCAAAAUAUCACUAACGGAGGACCUGAACUUCAAGCCAGGCAGCCUGGCAUCAGGCCACAGCUCUCCCCACUCUGACCCCACCCUGGGAAUGGGGAGGUUAGGUGGGAGUUCCAGGAGGGAUCAGCGUGUGCUUGGCUCACCACUAUUUCCCAGGGCCUAGAACUACCUGGCCUAGGGAUGGUACCCCACUGAGGCUUGGCUGAGUGAGAAGUAGUGUCAUUGUGUGUGUCUGGGCUUGAUGGGGGGAGAGGAGAGACAUCAGUAGUGGCUCUCUUUUUCUUUUUUUCCAUUUUCUAGAUCUCACAUGCACAGACUCUUUCUAUUUAUCACAAAUUAAAAUUUUCUCACUUCUUGGAGUCUACAUGAGCGCAAAUCCCUUCUCUCUGCCUGGAUGAGUAAAGGCAGCUCCUACCUCUCCGAAGCUUGCAAUACUUAACACAGACAGGUUCCACUAGGCUAGGGGAAUCCUACCAGAGUAACCAGAGACUGGAACAGAUUUGGGUUUGAUGCUAAAGGAGAAGACUUAAGGUUGCUCAGGUAAGAGCUGGAAGGGGCCCAUAGUUGUUAUGCAUGGUACAUUCAGCUUUGGGCAAGCCCACUGAUGCAGAGGGCAAGCUCAGGCCUCCCCCGCUAGCUUCACUAAAUGGUUCCUUCCUGUGGGUGACGUUCUAGCAUGCAUCAGUGUCAUGAAGGCCACUGGUCCAGGCAUGGUUCCAAAGGAAUGCCCUCAGCCCUCAGGGCAGCUGGAGCCUCUAGGUGUUUGUCUCGGGUGUCAUGCAGCCAGACGUGUGCUGAUAAAUGUUUGACAUAGCUGGGGCGAGGGUCAGGGAGACUGGAACCAUAUGUCAAGGGCUGAUUUGCUGAUUUUCCCUGGUGUUGACGUUCUCACCAUGGCGGAUCUGAAGCUACCAAUGUGACAUCACUGAACCCACACCUGGGAAGUUCUGCACGUAGGCGACACUGUCACAUAGUGUUGCCGUCAUACAGAUACAAUGGAUGGAAACCACCUUGAGAGCAGAGCUAACUGUCACAUAGUAAAAUCAGCCUCGUGCCUCGGAGGGCUCCCUGACUGUGAAGACAGCCCUCAAGGAUGUCAUUCUCUCCAAAAACUCCCAACAGAGCAGUCAUCCUCAAGAAGAAAAUCAUCUCCAAAGACCCUGAGCUUCUUGCAGGAGGGACAGAAUUUGGAGGAAUACCAGACACCUAGGUGAAGAGCACUGUAGGAAGGUCACUUGUGCCUCUCUGACUCGGCAAGCUCCAGGGUCACCUCUUUUCUCACCUUUGUCCCAUAGGUGAGUUUUGCUGGUUCCCAACUGUCAUAGAAAUGGAGUCCUCCUGAAUCCCAUGCUUUCUUAUGUUCAUACUUGUAAAUUUGGAGGACUGGAGCUUCUUGAGGGUAGGACUAAGCCUUAAUCACAACUGGCCUGUUCCCUUCCCUUCAGGCUAAGACCAAGCAAGGUGCCCAGUGGAUGUUCCUUCCAUGAAGGCCAGCCUGCCUCUCCACAGCACGUGGUGAAGGGGAAGAACACAGGCUGCCUGCAUUCAAACCUGAUAUUCACUUACCUCUGUGUGACCUUGGCCAGUUACCUAACCUCUCUGUACCCAACCAGGGAGACCAAUAGCACUUGCCUUAUAGAAUUAUGGUGAUCGUUAUGUGCAUCAAUAUUUAUAAAACUCUUCCAAAUGUCUGGAACAUAAUGAGGCUAUUGCAAGGUUUGUUAAAUGAAAACAUGAAAAUAUGUCUAAAGGCAGGACUCUGCCUCUUUUUUCACCACUGUGUUCUGAGUCACAGGUCGGCAAACUAGACCUUUGCACCACAGGAUUUUGUAAAUAAAGUUUUAUUAGCAUACAG